rnacentral:rRNA from 1 species
AGAGCGAACGCUGGCGGCGUGCUUAACACAUGCAAGUCGAACGCGCAGCAUUCUGUAGCAAUACAGGAUGUGGGCGCGUGGCGAACGGGUGCGUAACACGUGGGUAACCUUCCUUCAGGUGGGGAAUAACCCAGCGAAAGUUGGGCUAAUACCGCAUAACAUGACGAUGCCACAUGGUGUUGUCUUCAAAGGCGCAAGUCGCCAGAAGAGGGAUCCGCGGCCGAUUAGCUUGUUGGCGAGGUAAUGGCUCACCAAGGCAUUGAUCGGUAGCCGGACUGAGAGGUUGGCCGGCCACACUGGAACUGAGACACGGUCCAGACUCCUACGGGAGGCAGCAGUGGGGAAUCUUGCACAAUGGACGAAAGUCUGAUGCAGCAACGCCGCGUGGGGGAUGGAAACUUCUCGGAGUGUAAACCCCUUUCGACCCGGACGAAUGCCCGCAAGGGUUUGACGGUACGGGUAUAAGAAGCCCGGCUAACUACGCGCCAGCAGCCGCGGUAA